AACAAGAUCAACUCUAGUUGAGAGUUGGGCGUGGCCUUAUUAUAUUUUAAUAAUAUAAUUUGGUUUGAAUAUAUCGAGUUGAUGAGCUUCCCAGUGCGGCUCAAUGUGUGCUAGCGAGACAGUCGUCCCGAUCUCACAUUAUUGUCGCAUUGCAGAGUUCUGUCCACAGCUCGCUAAAUCUACUAUUUA
rnacentral:misc_RNA from 1 species